GAAGCAUGUAAUUAUUCUAAGAAAAAAGAAGAAGAGAAGAAUCAAACGAACAUAUAACUCCAUCUAGUUGUAUGUUCUCGCAUCGCAUGGAUAUUAAUUAGCGUCCAUCUAGUUGUUCUCGCAUCACAUGGAUAUUAAUUAGCGAGACAGAAUCUAUUGAGCCUCUCAUGAAACCCUCUUCCUAGUCUUGAUGGUUACUAUAGAUGUGCUGGUAUCAUCAAGGAAAUAAAAAAAAAAUUCAAAGGGUCGAUAGGAGAGAAGAAAGGUACAUGAUUGUGCACAUGCUUCAUGCCUUCGAUGAGAUUUCGAGCCCAAUAUCUGACUCUAAUGCCAGAAGACAGGCAAUAUAUCUAUUUGGUUCGUUUUCCUCCGGAUCGUCAGGGCAAUUAAAAAAAUACUUUUUCAACAUGUUAGCAG